rnacentral:lncRNA from 1 species
AGAGACAGGACAGAGCUCUCAGCCGCUGUGCUCACAGCUUCUUUGGUCUCGGUCACUGGGGGUCCGCCUGAAGUCGCAGGGAGAAGCCGGAGAGACUGGCUGCUGAGGCUGGAGGAGUUUUUCUUCUGCUGCAAAGCUGACACGUGUGGUGGUGGUGUUCCGCGCCUCCCGUUCUUCUUUAUAAAAGCCCAGACAUCCAAUUAAACUGCUGUGUCCCGGCGUAUCUGGGAAGCCAUUCCUGCAUGACUCAAAGCCUUUCUCUGCUCUCGCACAUUCCUGUUAGACGAGGACACUGGAUGUUUAGGCACAGUAGCUGCUGAUGCCAAAAAGUCCCCCAGGGAAAGACAAUGAUAAAUUUUGUCAUGUGUUAUGUUUUUAAAAAGUAUUUUACUUCCAGGGAAAUCUUUUCCCUUUAACAUUUCUGAAAAGGAGUUGAAUUCUGGUGUGGUGGGGGCAAUGGCAAGCCAUUGGUUUUCUUAGUGGCAGG